rnacentral:tRNA from 1 species
GGGGCUGUAGCUCAGUGGUAGAGCACUCACCUAGCAUGUGUGAGGCACUGGAUUCAAUUCUCAGCACCG